UGGCGGACGGGUGAGUAAUGUCUGGGAAACUGCCCGAUGGAGGGGGAUAACUACUGGAAACGGUAGCUAAUACCGCAUAACGUCGCAAGACCAAAGAGGGGGACCUUCGGGCCUCUUGCCAUCGGAUGUGCCCAUAUGGGAUUAGCUAGUAGGUGGGGUAACGGCUCACCUAGGCGACGAUCCCUAGCUGGUCUGAGAGGAUGACCAGCCACACUGGAACUGAGACACGGUCCAG
rnacentral:rRNA from 1 species